UACGUAGGGUGCGAGCGUUGUCCGGAAUUAUUGGGCGUAAAGAGCUCGUAGGCGGCUUGUCGCGUCGGAUGUGAAAGCCCGGGGCUUAACUCCGGGUCUGCAUUCGAUACGGGCAGGCUAGAGUUCGGUAGGGGAGAUCGGAAUUCCUGGUGUAGCGGUGAAAUGCGCAGAUAUCAGGAGGAACACCGGUGGCGAAGGCGGAUCUCUGGGCCGAUACUGACGCUGAGGAGCGAAAGCUAGGGGAGCGAACGGG
rnacentral:rRNA from 1 species